AUUGAACGCUGGCGGCAGGCCUAACACAUGCAAGUCGAGCGGACCAAAGAGAGCUUGCUCUCUGAGGUUAGCGGCGGACGGGUGAGUAACACGUGGGUAACCUGCCUGUAAGACAGGGAUAACUUCGGGAAACCGAAGCUAAUACCGGAUGAUAAAGAGAAACGCCUGUUUCUUUUUUGAAAGUCGGCCUUGUGCUGACGCUUACAGAUGGGCCCGCGGCGCAUUAGCUAGUUGGUGAGGUAACGGCUCACCAAGGCGACGAUGCGUAGCCGACCUGAGAGGGUGAUCGGCCACACUGGGACUGAGACACGGCCCAGACUCCUACGGGAGGCAGCAGUAGGGAAUCUUCGGCAAUGGACGAAAGUCUGACCGAGCAACGCCGCGUGAGCGAUGAAGGCCUUCGGGUCGUAAAGCUCUGUUGUCAGAGAAGAACAAGUACCGGAGUAACUGCCGGUACCUUGACGGUACCUGACCAGAAAGCCACGGCUAACUACGUGCCAGCAGCCGCGGUAACAC
rnacentral:rRNA from 1 species